rnacentral:rRNA from 1 species
GAUGAACGCUGGCGGCGUGCCUAGUACAUGCAAGUCGAGCGAACAGGCGAGGAGCUUGCUCCUCUGACGUUAGCGGCGGACGGGUGAGUAACACGUGGAUAACCUACCUAUAAGACUGAGAUAACUUCGGGAAACCGGAGCUAAUACCGGAUAAUAUAUUGAACCGCAUGGUUCAAUAGCGAAAGACGGUUUUGCUGUCACUUAUAGAUGGAUCCGCGCCGCAUUAGCUAGUUGGUAAGGUAACGGCUUACCAAGGCGACGAUGCGUAGCCGACCUGAGAGGGUGAUCGGCCACACUGGAACUGAGACACGGUCCAGACUCCUACGGGAGGCAGCAGUAGGGAAUCUUCCGCAAUGGGCGAAAGCCUGACGGAGCAACGCCGCGUGAGUGAUGAAGGUCUUCGGAUCGUAAAACUCUGUUAUUAGGGAAGAACAAAUGUGUAAGUAACUAUGCACGUCUUGACGGUACCUAAUCAGAAAGCCACGGCUAACUACGUG